GCCACAUCAAAACAACUAUUCAAACAUUACAACAAUUGGCAAUGGAAGAAGAAAAUUUAGAAGUUCCAAUCCCGACAAGUGACGAUGCAUUUAAUUGAAGUGAACUUGGUUGUUUUCUGUUUUGGUAUUAUGUUUUGAACUUGGUUGUUUCCUGUUUUGGAAUUAUGUUUUGAACUCGGUUGUUUCCUUUUUUACUUUGGUUGUUUAUGUUUUGAACUUGGUUGUAACCAGUUUUGGUAUUAUAUUCUUGCAUUACUGAUACAAUUUUUGAGUUAUUUUUUGGUU